UUUAUGUUUAAGGUCCGGAUACGUUUCUAUACGCCGACGGUACGGAUUAAAUUCGAAAAACGGACCAACUACACUGUUCGGUUAUUUGUCAACGUUUUGGUGGCGCGUGAACGGUGUCGUGCGAAUAUCAUCGACAGAUAUUUCUUUAAAAUUAUUCUUUCGUAUUGGCGGUUAAGACGGGAACGGGAACGGGAGACGGGGUGUUGUGCACGAUCGAAAUUAUCGGAAUUUUUUUUCUCCGUCCGC